AGUGAACGCUGGCGGCAGGCCUAAUACAUGCAAGUCGAACGGCAGCACGGCAGAGCUUGCUCUGUGGGUGGCGAGUGGCGGACGGGUGAGGAAUACAUGGGAAUCUGCCCAGUCGUGGGGGAUAACGUAGGGAAACUUACGCUAAUACCGCAUGCGCCCUUCGGGGGAAAGCCGGGGACCUUCGGGCCUGGCGCGAUUGGAUGAGCCCAUGUCGGAUUAGCUAGUUGGCGGGGUAAUGGCCCACCAAGGCGACGAUCCGUAGCUGGUCUGAGAGGAUGAUCAGCCACACUGGAACUGAGACACGGUCCCGACUCCUACGGGAGGCAGCAGUAGGGAAUAUUGGACAAUGGGCGCAAGCCUGAUCCAGCCAUGCCGCGUGAGUGAAGAAGGCCCUCGGGUUGUAAAGCUCUUUUGUCCGGAAAGAAAAGCGCCGGGUUAAUACCCUGGUGUCCUGACGGUACCGGAAGAAUAAGCACCGGCUAACUUCGUGCCAGCAGCCGAC
rnacentral:rRNA from 1 species